rnacentral:rRNA from 1 species
ACACUCCUACGGGAGGCAGCAGUGGGGAAUCUUGCGCAAUGGGCGAAAGCCUGACGCAGCCAUGCCGCGUGAAUGAUGAAGGUCUUAGGAUUGUAAAAUUCUUUCACCGGGGACGAUAAUGACGGUACCCGGAGAAGAAGCCCCGGCUAACUUCGUGCCAGCAGCCGCGGUAAUACGAAGGAGGCUAGCGUUGCUCGGAAUUACUGGGCGUAAAGGGAGCGUAGGCGGACAUUUAAGUCAGGGGUGAAAUCCCGGGGCUCAACCUCGGAAUUGCCUUUGAUACUGGGUGUCUUGAGUAUGAGAGAGGUGUGUGGAACUCCGAGUGUAGAGGUGAAAUUCGUAGAUAUUCGGAAGAACACCAGUGGCGAAGGCGACACACUGGCUCAUUACUGACGCUGAGGCUCGAAAGCGUGGGGAGCAAACAGGAUUAGAAACCCUGGUAGUCCC